UACGAAGGGUGCAAGCGUUACUCGGAAUUACUGGGCGUAAAGCGUGCGUAGGUGGUGAGUUAAGUCUGUCGUGAAAUCCCUCGGCUUAACCGGGGAACUGCGUCUGAUACUGGAUGGCUUGAGUUUGGGAGAGGGAUGCGGAAUUCCAGGUGUAGCGGUGAAAUGCGUAGAUAUCUGGAGGAACACCGGUGGCGAAGGCGGCAUCCUGGACCAACACUGACGCUGAGUGAGCGAAAGCCAGGGGAGCAAACGGG
rnacentral:rRNA from 1 species